GAUGAACGCUGGCGGCGUGCCUAAUACAUGCAAGUCGAGCGAACAGAUAAGGAGCUUUCUCCUUUGACGGUAGCGUCGGACGGGUGAGUAACACGUGGGUAACCUACCUAUAAGACUGGGAGAAUUUCGGGAAACCGGAGCUAAUACCGGAUAAUAUUUCGAACCGCAGGGUUCGAUAGUGAAAGAUGGUUUUGCUAUCACUUAUAGAUGGACCCGCGCCGUAUUAGCUAGUUGGUAAGGUAACGGCUUACCAAGGCGACGAUACGUAGCUGACCUGAGAGGGUGAUCAGCCACACUGGAACUGAGACACGGUCCAGACUCCUACGGGAGGCAGCAGCAGGGAAUCUUCCGCAAUGGGCGAAAGCCUGACGGAGCAAUGCCGCGUGAGUGAUGAAGGCCUUCGGAUCGUAAAACCCUGUUAUUAGGGAAGAACAUACGUAUAAGUAACUGCGCACGUCCUGACGGUACCUAAUCAGAAAGCCACGGCUAACUACGUG
rnacentral:rRNA from 1 species